UACGUAGGGUCCGAGCGUUGUCCGGAGUUACUGGGCGUAAAGCGCGCGCAGGCGGCGGUGUUGGCCCGGCGUGAAAGCCCCCGGCUCAACCGGGGAGAGUCGUCGGGGACCGCACCGCUUGAGGGCGGUAGGGGCCGGUGGAAUGCCUGGUGUAGUGGUGAAAUGCGUAGAGAUCAGGCAGAACACCUGGGGCGAAGGCGGCCGGCUGGGCCGUCCCUGACGCUGAGGCGCGAAGGCGUGGGGAGCGAACAGG
rnacentral:rRNA from 1 species